CAGUCGCCACGGGAAUACAGAGGGUGCAAGCGUUAAUCGGAAUUACUGGGCGUAAAGCGUGCGUAGGCGGCUUUUUAAGUCGGAUGUGAAAUCCCUGAGCUUAACUUAGGAAUUGCAUUCGAUACUGGGAAGCUAGAGUAUGGGAGAGGAUGGUAGAAUUCCAGGUGUAGCGGUGAAAUGCGUAGAGAUCUGGAGGAAUACCGAUGGCGAAGGCAGCCAUCUGGCCUAAUACUGACGCUGAGGUACGAAAGCAUGGGGAGCAAACAGGAUUAGAUACCCCAGUAGUCCCUGUCUCUUAUAC
rnacentral:rRNA from 1 species